rnacentral:rRNA from 1 species
GGAGUUAGCCGGUGCUUCUUCUGUGAGUGAUGUCCUUCCUGCCGGCUAUUAACCCGCAGGCCUUCUUCCUCACUGAAAGUGCUUUACAACCCGAAGGCCUUCUUCACACACGCGGCAUGGCUGGAUCAGGGUUGCCCCCAUUGUCCAAUAUUCCCCACUGCUGCCUCCCGUAGGAGUCUGGGCCGUGUCUCAGUCCCAGUGUGGCUGAUCAUCCUCUCAGACCAGCUACGGAUCGUCGCCUUGGUGAGCCGUUACCUCACCAACCAGCUAAUCCGACAUAGGCUCAUCCGAUAGCGCGAGGCCCGAAGGUCCCCCGCUUUCCCCCGUAGGGCGUAUGCGGUAUUAGCCUGGGUUUCCCCAGGUUAUCCCCCACUACCGGGCAGAUUCCUAUGCAUUACUCACCCGUCCGACGCUCGCCACCAGGAGCAGCUCCCGUCGCUGCCGCUCGACUUGCAUGUGUUAGGCGUGACGCCAGCGUUCAUCUGAGCANAGACACCACUACUGACGCGGACGCGGCGAGGCGACGACGACG